rnacentral:rRNA from 1 species
AACGAACGCUGGCGGCAUGCUUAACACAUGCAAGUCGAACGAGAACUUCGGGCCUAGUGGCGGACGGGUGCGUAACGCGUGGGAACCUGCCCUUAGGUUCGGAAUAACUCCCCGAAAGGGGUGCUAAUACCGGAUAAUGUCUUCGGACCAAAGAUCUUUGGCCUUUGGAUGGGCCCGCGUUGGAUUAGCCGGUUGGUAGGGUAAAAGCCUACCAAGGCGACGAUCCAUGGCUGGUCUGAUAGGAUGCCCAGCCACACUGGGACUGAGACACGGCCCAGACUGCUACGCAGGGGAGCAGUAGAGAAUAUUGGACGAUGAGCGAAAGUCUGAUCAAGCAGUGCCGCGUGAGUGAUGAAGGCCUUAGGGUUGUAAAGCUCUUUUACACGAGAUGAUAAUGACAGUACCGGGAAAAUAAGCUCCGGCUAACUCCGUG